rnacentral:rRNA from 1 species
UUAGUUGCCAGCAAGUAGCGUUGGGCACUCUAGCCAGACUGCCGGUGAUAAAUCGGAGGAAGGUGGGGACGACGUCAAAUCAUCAUGCCCUUUAUGUCCUGGGCUACACACGUACUACAAUGGCCGUUACAACGGGAAGCGAAGGAGCAAUCCGGAGCAAAUCCCUUAAAGGCGGUCCCAGUUCAGAUUGUGGGCUGAAACUCGCCCACAUGAAGGCGGAAUUGCUAGUAAUUGCAGAUCAGCAUGCUGCCAGUCGAAUACGUUCCCGGGCCUU